AACAGCUGCGGUAUUUUAACUGUACUAAGGUAGCAUAAUAAUUUGCCUUAUAAUUUGAGGCUAGAAUGAAUGGUUUGACGAAGGUUUAUCUGUCUCUGUUUCAUUUUUUAGAAAUUAAUUUUCAGAGUGAAAAAGCUUGAAUUUUUUAAAGGGACGAGAAGACCCUAUUGAGCUUGUAAUUUUUAUAUAAUUAUAUUACUAUAAUAGUAAUUAUUUAUAAAUUUUAGUUGGGGUGACUAAGGAAUAAAGAAGUAACUUCCUUAAAAUAAAAAUUGUUGAAUAAAGUAACCAAUAUAGUAUUGCUUAUAAUAUAGUUACCAUAGGGAUAACAGCGUAAUUUAUUUAGAGAGCUCAUAUUGAAAAAUAAGAUUGCGACCUCGAUGUUGGAUUAAAGUAACCUUAAGGUGCAGAAGCCUUAAUUGGUAAAUCUGUUCGAUUUUUAAAACUUUACGUGAUCUGAGUUCAGAC
rnacentral:rRNA from 1 species